rnacentral:sRNA from 1 species
GUCACUGGCCGUGGAGACAGCCCCGCGAGCAGCAAGCCAAUUUCCAUUAAUUAUCGAACAGAAAUUGACAAACCAUCCCAGAUGCAAGUGACCGAUGUUCAGGACAACAGCAUUAGUGUCAAGUGGCUGCCUUCAAGUUCCCCUGUUACUGGUUACAGAGUAACCACCACUCCCAAAAAUGGACCAGGACCAACAAAAACUAAAACUGCAGGUCCAGAUCAAACAGAAAUGACUAUUGAAGGCUUGCAGCCCACAGUGGAGUAUGUGGUUAGUGUCUAUGCUCAGAAUCCAAGCGGAGAGAGUCAGCCUCUGGUUCAGACUGCAGUAACCAGUACGUAACCACUGCUUGGUUUCCAUUUUCAAAGUCAAAUUUUGUUCUUGGGU